rnacentral:rRNA from 1 species
UACAGAGGGGGCAAGCGUUGUUCGGAAUUACUGGGCGUAAAGGGCGCGUAGGCGGCCUUCUAAGUCAGACGUGAAAUCCCUCGGCUUAACCGGGGAACUGCGUCUGAUACUGGAUGGCUUGAGUUUGGGAGAGGGAUGCGGAAUUCCAGGUGUAGCGGUGAAAUGCGUAGAUAUCUGGAGGAACACCGGUGGCGAAGGCGGCAUCCUGGACCAACACUGACGCUGAGUGAGCGAAAGCCAGGGGAGCAAACGGG